rnacentral:rRNA from 1 species
AUAGCGUAUAUUAAAGUUGUUGCAGUUAAAAAGCUCGUAGUUGAAUUUUGGGUCAGACUGGUGGGUCCGCUCAACAGCGAGUACUUACUAGUUUGGCCUUCCUUCUGGCUAUCUAGUCUGCCUUUAAUCGGGUGGGCUAGAGAACCAGGACUUUUACUUUGAAAAAAUUAGAGUGUUCAAAGCAAGCUUACGCUUGAAUACAUUAGCAUGGAAUAAUAAAAUAGGAUUUUGGUUCUAUUUUGUUGGUUUCUAGGACCAAGGUAAUGAUUAAUAGGGACAGUUGGGGACAUUAGUAUUUCAGUGCUAGAGGUGAAAUUCUUGGAUUUCUGAAAGACUAACUACUG